UCAGGUUGGGGCAGGGGGUUGAGGCAUGGGGAGUGGCUCAAGUGGUGCAGGCUCCGAGCUGCGCUUAUCUCAAGUGGCUCCCAGAAGCAGUGUCAUGUCCCUUCUCCGGCUCCUGUGUGGAGGCAUGGCUAGGCAG